CGUAAUCGUACGCGUACAGAGGCAAGCAAUUUUGUAGCGUACGCUCACAGAUUGAUUUUCAUUUCAACUCAAAUCACAAACGUAUUUGAGGAUUUCGUUAGUGGUAGACUUGUUUUGUGUUAAUCACCGUUUCAUUUUUGGUCUGCUUCAGGGAAUUAAUAAGUUUAGUUUAAUUAAGUUAUAACUUAUGAAUUCCGUCAUAAUGGAUAAACAAUAUCUCUAUGAUGGUAGAGAUCACAAAGAGGCCACCAUGACUACAAAUCAGCUACAAGUGAACACCAAGGCUUCUCAUACGGCCGUCCUGCUCGGCCCAGAGACUUCCACAAUAACAUGUCCUCAAUGUGGUAGUACUGUGAAGACCAGGGUUCGUUUUACAACUACUGCAAGGACUCAUAUAGCUGCUGCCCUUUGUGGAUUUAUAUGUUGUUGCUGCUGCAUCCCGUAUUGUUCAAGCUCAGCAAAAAACACGGAUCACUUCUGCCCUAAUUGCUUGAAAUACCUUGGCACUUACGAAAAAUAGCGACUAAAUUAAGAGGACUAAGAUACUAAGAUAUAUUUACUUUAUCUUUUAUUAUACCAAUACAAUAUAGAUAUUGAAAUGUUACGAAUGAUUAAUAACCUGGAAAUGUUGUCUUUCUGUAACAUUUGCUAAUAAGAAUACUAUGUAUCCAAUUUUUUACAUACACAUAUAUGUUCAAUAAAGUAAAAGAUGAAUCUUAA